rnacentral:rRNA from 1 species
UACGUAGGGGGCAAGCGUUGUCCGGAUUUAUUGGGCGUAAAGAGCGUGUAGGCGGCCAAGCAGGUCCGCUGUGAAAACUCGAGGCUCAACUCGAGACGUCGGUGGAAACCGUUUGGCUAGAGUCCGGAAGAGGAGAGUGGAAUUCCCGGUGUAGCGGUGAAAUGCGCAGAUAUCGGGAAGAACACCAAAGGCGAAGGCAGCAUCCUGGGAAGUUCCUGACGCUCGGGUGCGAAAGCCAGGGGAGCGAACGGG